GGGUUGUGAGGUUAAGCGACUAAGCGUACACGGUGGAUGCCCUGGCAGUCAGAGGCGAUGAAGGACGUGCUAAUCUGCGAAAAGCGACGGCGAGGUGAUAUGAACCCCUGACCCGUCGAUGUCCGAAUGGGGAAACCCAGUGUGAUUCGUCACACUAUCGUUAACUGAAUACAUAGGUUAACGAGGCGAACCGGGGGAACUGAAACAUCUAAGUACCCCGAGGAAAAGAAAUCAACCGAGAUUCCCCCAGUAGCGGCGAGCGAACGGGGAGCAGCCCGGAGUCUGAAUCAGCUUGUGUGUUAGUGGAACGGUCUGGAAAGUCCGACGGUACAGGGUGAUAGUCCCGUACACGAAAACACACUUGCUGUGAACUCGAAGAGUAGGGCGGGACACGUGGUAUCCUGUCUGAAUAUGGGGGGACCAUCCUCCAAGGCUAAAUACUCCUGACUGACCGAUAGUGAACCAGUACCGUGAGGGAAAGGCGAAAAGAACCCCGGCGAGGGGAGUGAAAAAGAACCUGAAACCGUGUACGUACAAGCAGUGGGAGCCUCUUUAUGGGGUGACUGCGUACCUUUUGUAUAAUGGGUCAGCGACUUAUAUUCUGUAGCAAGGUUAACCGUAUAGGGGAGCCGAAGGGAAACCGAGUCUUAACUGGGCGUUAAGUUGCAGGGUAUAGACCCGAAACCCGGUGAUCUAGCCAUGGGCAGGUUGAAGGUUGGGUAACACUAACUGGAGGACCGAACCGACUAAUGUUGAAAAAUUAGCGGAUGACCUGUGGCUGGGGGUGAAAGGCCAAUCAAACCGGGAGAUAGCUGGUUCUCCCCGAAAGCUAUUUAGGUAGCGCCUCGUGAACUCAUCUUCGGGGGUAGAGCACUGUUUCGGCUAGGGGGCCAUCCCGGCUUACCAACCCGAUGCAAACUACGAAUACCGAAGAAUGUUAUCACGGGAGACACACGGCGGGUGCUAACGUCCGUCGUGAAGAGGGAAACAACCCAGACCGCCAGCUAAGGUCCCAAAGUCAUGGUUAAGUGGGAAACGAUGUGGGAAGGCACAGACAGCCAGGAUGUUGGCUUAGAAGCAGCCAUCAUUUAAAGAAAGCGUAAUAGCUCACUGGUCGAGUCGGCCUGCGCGGAAGAUGUAACGGGGCUAAACCAUGCACCGAAGCUGCGGCAGCGACGCUUAUGCGUUGUUGGGUAGGGGAGCGUUCUGUAAGCCGUUGAAGGUGGCCUGUGAGGGUUGCUGGAGGUAUCAGAAGUGCGAAUGCUGACAUAAGUAACGAUAAAGCGGGUGAAAAGCCCGCUCGCCGGAAGACCAAGGGUUCCUGUCCAACGUUAAUCGGGGCAGGGUGAGUCGACCCCUAAGGCGAGGCCGAAAGGCGUAGUCGAUGGGAAACAGGUUAAUAUUCCUGUACUUGGUGUUACUGCGAAGGGGGGACGGAGAAGGCUAUGUCAGCCGGGCGACGGUUGUCCCGGUUUAAGCAUGUAGGCGGAGGUUCCAGGUAAAUCCGGUACCUUUUAACGCUGAGGUGUGAUGACGAGGCACUACGGUGCUGAAGUGAUAAAUGCCCUGCUUCCAGGAAAAGCCUCUAAGCAUCAGGUAACACGAAAUCGUACCCCAAACCGACACAGGUGGUCAGGUAGAGAAUACCAAGGCGCUUGAGAGAACUCGGGUGAAGGAACUAGGCAAAAUGGUGCCGUAACUUCGGGAGAAGGCACGCUGAUAUGUAGGUGAAGUCCCUGCGGACGGAGCUGAAAUCAGUCGAAGAUACCAGCUGGCUGCAACUGUUUAUUAAAAACACAGCACUGUGCAAACACGAAAGUGGACGUAUACGGUGUGACGCCUGCCCGGUGCCGGAAGGUUAAUUGAUGGGGUUAGCGGCAACGCGAAGCUCUUGAUCGAAGCCCCGGUAAACGGCGGCCGUAACUAUAACGGUCCUAAGGUAGCGAAAUUCCUUGUCGGGUAAGUUCCGACCUGCACGAAUGGCGUAAUGAUGGCCAGGCUGUCUCCACCCGAGACUCAGUGAAAUUGAACUCGCUGUGAAGAUGCAGUGUACCCGCGGCAAGACGGAAAGACCCCGUGAACCUUUACUAUAGCUUGACACUGAACACUGGUCCUUGAUGUGUAGGAUAGGUGGGAGGCUUUGAAGCGUGGACGCCAGUCUGCGUGGAGCCAACCUUGAAAUACCACCCUUUAAUGGCUGGUGUUCUAACGUAGACCCGUAAUCCGGGUUGCGGACAGUGUCUGGUGGGUAGUUUGACUGGGGCGGUCUCCUCCCAAAGAGUAACGGAGGAGCACGAAGGUUGGCUAAUCCUGGUCGGACAUCAGGAGGUUAGUGCAAUGGCAUAAGCCAGCUUGACUGCGAGCGUGACGGCGCGAGCAGGUGCGAAAGCAGGUCAUAGUGAUCCGGUGGUUCUGAAUGGAAGGGCCAUCGCUCAACGGAUAAAAGGUACUCCGGGGAUAACAGGCUGAUACCGCCCAAGAGUUCAUAUCGACGGCGGUGUUUGGCACCUCGAUGUCGGCUCAUCACAUCCUGGGGCUGAAGUAGGUCCCAAGGGUAUGGCUGUUCGCCAUUUAAAGUGGUACGCGAGCUGGGUUUAGAACGUCGUGAGACAGUUCGGUCCCUAUCUGCCGUGGGCGCUGGAGAAUUGAGGGGGGCUGCUCCUAGUACGAGAGGACCGGAGUGGACGCAUCACUGGUGUUCGGGUUGUCAUGCCAAUGGCACUGCCCGGUAGCUAAAUGCGGAAGAGAUAAGUGCUGAAAGCAUCUAAGCACGAAACUUGCCCCGAGAUGAGUUCUCCCUGAGACUUUAAGUCUCCUGAAGGAACGUUGAAGACGACGACGUUGAUAGGUCGGGUGUGUAAGCGCAGCGAUGCGUUGAGCUAACCGAUACUAAUGAACCGUGAGGCUUAACCUUACAACGCCGAAG
rnacentral:rRNA from 1 species